GAUAAACGCUGGCGGCGUGCCUAAUGCAUGCAAGUCGAACGCAGCCUUCGGGCUGAGUGGCGGACGGGUGAGGAACACGUACGAGACCUGCCCAGCGGUGGGGAAUACCCACGCGAAAGGGUGGCUAAUGCCGCAUUCGCUCCUCGGGGUGAUGCUCGGGGAGGAAAGCCGCAAGGCGCCGCUGGAGGGGCGUGCGGCCGAUUAGCUAGUUGGUGGGGUAAGAGCCUACCAAGGCGACGAUCGGUAGCUGGUCUGAGAGGAUGAUCAGCCACACUGG
rnacentral:rRNA from 1 species